rnacentral:sRNA from 1 species
UCAUAACCCUGAUAGCAGCGGUAUCCUUUCCUUGUCUCCUCUGUUCUCUUGAGACAAGAGGAGACAAGGAAAGAUACGAGCGAAUAGCAGGAAAUAGC